rnacentral:pre_miRNA from 1 species
AACAAGAUCAUUUUUCAGUUUUUUGAUACAAUGUUUUGACUCUUUGUCUUAUUUAAAAAUUUUGGCGAUUAAUAUUUUUAUUUUUACUAGAUGAUAAAAUAUGAAUAGUACUUUAUGCGUGACUAUUUUUUAAAAAUUUUUGUAUAAACUUUUCAAAUAAGACGAAUGGUCAAACGUUGGACACAGAAAAAC